CGCCUGUGCCAUUAGUGUAUAAAACAGAUUCCACAAACAAAUUGGAGAAUUCCUAUCAGCGUAUAAUAAUAACUUGGACAGUUUUUACAAGAAACAAUUCUAAACUCUGAUAAAACAAAUCAACCUAUUAACCAAAAAACUCUGAUAUCAAAAACUAACCACUCUUUACUAGAAGGAGCAUAGCUCAACUAGCAUACGGAUGUAUUAGUGGCAAAAAAG
rnacentral:misc_RNA from 1 species